rnacentral:rRNA from 1 species
GACAGAGGAUGCAAGCGUUAUCCGGAAUGAUUGGGCGUAAAGCGUCUGUAGGUGGCUUUUCAAGUCCGCCGUCAAAUCCCAGGGCUCAACCCUGGACAGGCGGUGGAAACUACCAAGCUGGAGUACGGUAGGGGCAGAGGGAAUUUCCGGUGGAGCGGUGAAAUGCGUUGAUAUCGAUAGGAACUCCGGUGGCGAAGGCGGCAUACUGGACCACAUCUGACGCUGAGGCGCGAAAGCCAGGGGAGCAAACGGG